rnacentral:rRNA from 1 species
CCUACGGGUGGCAGCAGUGGGGAAUAUUGCACAAUGGGGGAAACCCUGAUGCAGCGACGCCGCGUGAGUGAAGAAGUAAUUCGUUAUGUAAAGCUCUAUCAGCAGGGAAGAAAAUGACGGUACCUGAGUAAGAAGCCCCGGCUAACUACGUGCCAGCAGCCGCGGUAAUACGUAGGGGGCAAGCGUUAUCCGGAUUUACUGGGUGGAAAGGGAGCGUAGACGGCAGUGCAAGUCUGGAGUGAAAGGCGGGGGCUCAACCCCCGGACUGCUCUGGAAACUGUAGGGCUGGAGUGCAGGAGAGGUAAGUGGAAUGCCUAGUGGAGCGGUGAAAUGCGUAGAUAUUAGGAGGAACACCAGUGGCGAAGGCGGCUUACUGGACUGUAACUGACGUUGAGGCUCGAAAGCGUGGGGAGCAAACAGGAUUAGAUACCCGAGUAGUC